UUUCCUAGCCAAAGUUUACCUUAGGCACUCUUGAACCAAAUUUCUCAAAGGGAACUAAAGUUGAAAUUAAAGUUGACACACAUUAAGCUAUCACAAUUAAAGAAAGCAAAUAAACUAGCUAUGCGGCCUAAUGAUUAAGUUAGAAGAACUUUGGUUCAUCCAACCAACCAACUAAAAAUGAAAAUUACUAAUAAAUAAAGGUUCUUGUUAAGAUAUGGGAUUGAGCACCAAAUACUCCCCCAAGACACCUAACAAGGCCAUGAGUUACAAGUGAAAAAAAAAAAGAAAAAGAAAGAAAGAAAGAUUACAAAGCCAAAAAUUACAACCAAAUUAAAGCUACCUCCCCAGGUGUUUCUCUCCUUUCUUUUGGCUACCAUUCUAGACUUCAAGCUCCCUUUGGG
rnacentral:lncRNA from 1 species